rnacentral:rRNA from 1 species
CCUGCCGUUGCCGGCGACCGGCGCACGGGUGAGUAACACGUAUGCAACCUGCCCGUGGCAGGGGGAUAAGCGGGGGAAACCCCGUCUAAUACCGCGUAACGCGGCCUAGGGACAUCCCAAGGCCGCCAAAGGGAGCAAUCCCGGCCACGGAUGGGCAUGCGGCGCAUUAGCUAGUCGGCGGGGUAACGGCCCACCGAGGCGACGAUGCGUAGGGGUUCUGAGAGGAAGGUCCCCCACACUGGUACUGAGACACGGACCAGACUCCUACGGAAGGCAGCAG